ensembl:lncRNA
GUGAGAAAUCUGAAUGUGGGAAAUAUUGAGUUUAGUUUUUGAAUUCAUCUCAGACAUCUUUCUCCCAGAUCAGUUUGGAUACUAACACAAGAAUUUCAAAAAUAAAAUAAAAGUAAUUGUAUAAGGCUCAGAGCCACAGUGAGAUGAUUGCAGUCCCUGACAAAGAUGAUGUGAGAAGAAAAUAGUCAAGAAAAUCAAAAAGGAAAUGGACACAAGAUAUCUGUGCAAUUAACAAAAAAUAAACAAAUGACAACGGAUAUGUUUUAUUUUGGUUUGUUUCAGCUAAAUGUUCUACAUCAUUUUCAUGAUACAUAUUCUGAUCACUUGAAUGCCUCUGAUCGCUCACUUUGAUAGCUGGGAAGCUGGCAAACAACAAUCACUACAAAUCAUCUCCUUCAAAAGGUGUUAAUAGAAUGUCAAAUAUAAUGUCAGUAUUAUCUUUUAAUUAUAUAGGUUUACUUAUGGUAGAAUGCUGCAUGUAAUCAUUUGUGUUUAGAAGUAUGUAGUUGAUAGUAUCCUGAAAGAAUGUCUCAUCCUAGGAAGCUUGUGUGGUUCCAGAGUGUUCUGGUUUUCACACCCACAUCCUAGGAGCAUGGGAGAGCUCCUGACGAUGGCUCUGAGCAGUCUGAGAGACUAAAUCCACAAAGCUGACUGUCCUGCAAAGAGUUCUUCACUUCACUGUCUGUAGGACUUUCCUCCAGCUGCUGUUUUUUAUUUCAUAGUUCAAAGAAAUGUGUUAAAAACACCAUUAAAUAAAUAACACACAGGUAAUGUUCACUGUGAACAGACUGCUAUACUUGCUGUAAAUUAGUGCAUGGUCAUAUAUUUGUAUCUAGCUGCUGUGUGUACGUGUUUCACGCAUUUUUGAUUUUAUUCUGCUUCAGUAUGUAAUCACUGUAUCAUUGCAGUGUUUUCACAAGUCUGCUAAACACCAAAUGUUUCACCUUCAUUGAUAGUUAAGCAUCUGAUAAAGACAGUUUUUUAGACCUGAAGUGUGUGAUUUCACUGAGACGUUGGCAGUCUACAAAGCAUGUGGUAUUUUCCAAAUGACACCAAAACAUCUGAAGGAUGACGGCAACAGACUCUCAUUUGGAAAUGAAAUGUUCUUAGUUUAUUAUUUUAUUCUUCUGUGAAAAUAACUAACCCGGGAUUUCCUGCAUUUGAUUUGUGAGGUCACAUGACCCUGAUCUUUCACCACCUUUGGCUACGUCCUAAUUCAAACAAGGAAAACUGUUGUUUUGACCCUACUAUAACGUCCUUACUGUGUUCUGUCUCAUGUAUACAAACUGAUUAAAUAACUUGAUGUUUG